UACGUAGGGAGCGAGCGUUGUCCGGAUUCAUUGGGCGUAAAGAGCUCGUAGGCGGCUUGGCAAGUCGGGUGUGAAAACUCCAGCUCAACCUGGAGACGCCACCCGAUACUGCCAUGGCUAGAGUCCGGUAGGGGACCACGGAAUUCCUGGUGUAGCGGUGAAAUGCGCAGAUAUCGAGGAGGAACACCGGUGGCGAAGGCGGUGGUCUGGGCCGGAACUGACGCUGAGGAGCGAAGCGUGGGAGCGAACG
rnacentral:rRNA from 1 species